GGCUACGUAGCUCAGUUGGUUAGAGCACAGCACUCAUAAUGCUGGGGUCGGUGGUUCAAGUCCACCCGUAGCCACCA
rnacentral:tRNA from 4 species